rnacentral:rRNA from 1 species
GCAUACCAAGUAUCAAAGGCACUGCCUGCCCAGUGACAUCCGUUCAACGGCCGCGGUAUCCUGACCGUGCAAAGGUAGCAUAAUCACUUGUUCUCUAAAUAAGGACUUGUAUGAAUGGCCACACGAAGGUUUUACUGUCUCUUACUUCCAAUCAGUGAAAUUGACCUUCCCGUGAAGAGGCGGGAAUGCCCUAAUAAGACGAGAAGACCCUAUGGAGCUUUAGUUAAUCGACCCAAUAGAGAUAAAACCACAACCUACCAGGCCUAACCACCCUCUAUGUGGACGAACAACUUAGGUUGGGGUGACCUCGGAGAACAAAAAAACCUCCGAGUGAUUAAAGCCUAGACUAACAAGUCAAAGCACUAAAUCACUUAUUGAUCCAAAUCCUGAUCAACGGAAUAAGUUACCCUAGGGAUAACAGCGCAAUCCUAUUUAAGAGUCCAUAUCGACGAUAGGGUUUACGACCUCGAUGUUGGAUCAGGACAUCCUAAUGGUGUAGCAGCUAUUAAUGGUUCGUUUGUUCAACGAUUAAAGUCCU